UACGAAGGGGGGCUAGCGUUGCUCGGAAUCACUGGGCGUAAAGCGCACGUAGGCGGCUUUCUAAGUCAGGGGUGAAAUCCUGGAGCUCAACUCCAGAACUGCCUUUGAUACUGGAGAGCUUGAGUCCGGAAGAGGUGAGUGGAACUCCGAGUGUAGAGGUGAAAUUCGUAGAUAUUCGGAAGAACACCAGUGGCGAAGGCGGCUCACUGGGUCCGGUACUGACGCUGAUGUGCGAAAGCGUGGGGAGCAAACGGG
rnacentral:rRNA from 1 species